rnacentral:lncRNA from 7 species
GCCUGGAGAUGAGGAGCAGAUAGGAACCGAGAUACCAGGAGGCAGAGAGAGAGUGAUGGAAGAAGGAAAUGGGAGAACUACAGUGAUAAAGACAGUAAAUGGCACACGAAAAAGGAGGUGAAGAAAUUCUGAGCCAGCAAGAAUAAAAAAAGAAGAAUAGAUGAUGAAAUGUUGGCAACUGUGAGGAAGACUGAAGGAUACACUCAAACUAGGAGAAUAGGAUGCUUUGUUUUCUGAAAAUCAAGUUUGAAGGAGAUCCAGUAUUACCACAACAGACAUCCUCUCCCCCUGGAAAUAAUGAAGACAAGAUGAUAAGAAAUGUUUUAAAAGAGGGAGCAAACGUGGAAGAUCAAGCGUAUAGGAAAAAGGAACCGAUUUUGAUUAAAGUUCGAUCUUUGCAGCAAAAACAAGGACCAGUUUCAGCAGCUACUGUGCUGUCAUAGUAUCUACAGCACAAACAAACUUGCUUCAUCCAAGCCUCCCCGUUCUUGACAGCAAAAUGGCAGUUGUGGACCUGCCACUUCCUUCAGACCUGCCUUCCCCUCAGCCCUCUGCACUGACAGAUGCAAACAGAAAAUCGUGGUGGGAUUCUCUAGCCGAUGACAUUUUCAGUUCAGCUACACAUUGCUUCCAACCCACCAUUCAGCCUUCCUUAUGUUAUUUGACUGCAUUUGAACCACUGUCCCCUCACUGGGCUCAACUGUAAAUCUAGAAACAUCUAGCUUAUUUGUGCAAAAUGAAAACUCCUAAGGGAAUCCAUGUCUGAGUAAUGCAGCGCUAGUUUCGAUCUGCUGGAGAAGCUUUUUCAGUUCACCAACCUGUCAUAAGAAGGUUGAUAUGCUAAGGUCUCCUUCAUGACAAUAUUUAUAAGCCAUUAAAGGUUUUAUCUGAGAUUGUUAGUGCUCUCUUAAAACACCUGCUUUUCUCUCCCUCUCUCAUUUCUACCUGUUCACAGAUAUCUCCCUCUGCACCACUUCUGAAAAUGAAAGGUACCCAAAACCUAAUAAUGAAAUUAAGGCAGUUAUAAUCUCUUACUUACAUCAAAGAUUCUGUAAUUUUUCAGGUAAACAGAAAAAUGGAGACUAGUACUCUUCCUUUUUGAAAGAGGAACAUUCUGGUAAUUUAAGGUUAUUUUCCUUAAAGCAAAUGCCAAUGUAUAGGACAUAAAAAUGGUUUACAAGGAUCAGGCACCACUCUGUCUUUGAUAAGGAGGAGGAGAAUCAGUAGGAUCAGGUCAUAGAUUUAGGGAAAUGCUGGAUACCAGCUUCUCAGAGAGAUAGUCACAAUAAAAUAGCUUAGCACAAACAUUAAUUUUAAAAAAGAUUAUCUUAGUUCAGCCCUCACUCAGUAAAGGUGAGAAUCCACCUGAUCUGAAAGCAGUUGACUGAACCAGAUCAAAGGCAAGUAAUUGAUGAUCAAAAAGUGAUAACCUACUGAUUUCUGAAAUUCUACCCAGCACUUCAUGAAAAUGAUUCUCCACCUAAUGCAGAGGAAAUCGGGGGCUUUGUAAAACUGCAGACUCCCACAGCAGAGCUACAGGUGUGGCUUAGCUCUUCUCCACAACCAAACAAGGUUUGGAAGGAAAAGAACAGAGUCAAAGAUCUUAGCUCUGUUGCUGUAUCUGGAGAAAUCUGUCAAAUACUCAUGAAAGCUCCUAGGUUUGAGCUGGUAAUUUGUUUUUUAGAGAGCAUACAGAGAGAUUGCAACGGAUGGAAGCAAAGUCCUUAAAUCUGUCCUUAAAGUCAAUAAAGUUGUGCAGAACCACAGCAGAUAUUCAUGAGUGUCUCUUUUCACCUCACUCUGACGGUACUGUAUUGAGCAGUACACAGACUCAAGACAAGAGUUUGGAAGAUAAAAAUCCUUUUACAUGCAAAGGAUAGCCUCUUACUUGGUACAAACCCAGAUCAAUUUACUCUGUACUGUAUUCUCAGUUUAUUGAAUAAAUUGAAUAGAG